rnacentral:rRNA from 2 species
GACGAACGCUGGCGGCGUGCUUAACACAUGCAAGUCGAGCGGUAAGGCCCUUCGGGGUACACGAGCGGCGAACGGGUGAGUAACACGUGGGUGAUCUGCCUUGCACUCUGGGAUAAGCCUGGGAAACUGGGUCUAAUACCGGAUAUGACCUUUGGUUGCAUGAUCAGGGGUGGAAAGAUUUAUCGGUGCAAGAUGAGCCCGCGGCCUAUCAGCUUGUUGGUGGGGUAAUGGCCUACCAAGGCGACGACGGGUAGCCGGCCUGAGAGGGCGACCGGCCACACUGGGACUGAGACACGGCCCAGACUCCUACGGGAGGCAGCAGUGGGGAAUAUUGCACAAUGGGCGGAAGCCUGAUGCAGCGACGCCGCGUGAGGGAUGACGGCCUUCGGGUUGUAAACCUCUUUCGACUCCGACGAAGCGAAAGUGACGGUAGGAGUAUAAGAAGCACCGGCCAACUACGUG